ensembl:antisense 4930481A15Rik RIKEN cDNA 4930481A15 gene
AUGUAACCUUGACUGGACUGGAACUCACUCUGUAGACCAGGCUGGCUUCAAACUCAAAGAUCCACCUGCCCCUGCUGGGUGCUGGGACUAAAGGCCUGCACCACACGCCUGACUGGUGAAUUGUCUUCUAAUUCUAAAUCUGGUACUAAGUGCUCUAAGAAAGCUCAAGAGGCUCACUGGUGUUGUGGUGGCCCAGGGCGUCAGUAGUGCCGUGACCUCCAGCAAGCGUAUGGCCUGGCAGUGGAGACUGACUAACCCUAAGUUUCCCCUCGUUGAUGUGCUCAUAGAUCGCGUCUGCGCCCUGAUCCAAGGCACGCUCGAAGAACAGGGCGCCCACUGCGAUGGUGAGGGCGAAGGUGGAAGUUCUGCGGAACAGCAAGGAGUACAGACGCGAAGGGAUCGUCGGCAACGACAUGUUGCCUCACUGCCGAACUCGCGCCACUGCCAGAUGUAUUUCUUUAUGUUCCGGUGCCACAUGCAUGCCUGGUACCUGAGGAUGACAGAAGAGGACAUCAGGUCCCCUGGAACUUGAGUUGCAAUUGUAAGCCACCUUGUAGGUGCUGGGAAGCAAAGCUGGGUCCCCUGGAAAAGCAUCCAAUGCUCUUAACUGCUGAGCCGUUUCCCAGCCCCCUUUUAAAGGUGUUUUCUUUUGUUUAACUUGC